rnacentral:misc_RNA from 1 species
GGAAACGAGAGUGUCUUUUUCUACCGGGGGAAUUAUCGGUGAAUGACGAAUCAUCAACAUUACAGCGAAAUCGCCCUUCUCAAUACUGUUUCUUCCGAUUCUGCGACUGUUCUUCGCCGGAGUUGACAACAUGUGCUACUGGCCAAUGGGUGUUAUACAUUUGUAACUACUAAGGUGAUGAACUAGCUGGAUUCUACUCUGUUGGGGGCUCAAAAUUAGCUGAAACUUUAGAUCUUCUUCCCCCAUGCUCAGCACACUCACAGAAGAUUUCCUAUUCCGUAAAUUAGUUGGAGAAAGAUGUUUUCCAAAUGAGAUCAUCAACGUCAAGGCAUAGCUGAAAGUUCACGAUGCCUCGUAAGGUGAAUUAUGGAGUUAAGUAUGAGGAAGAUUUUGAUGAUUAUGAAGAUUACGGUUAUGACUAUGAUGAUGGGUAUGAUUGUGCAGAGGAAUAUGGUGUGCCGCCAGAAACAAGGUUAAAACAAGAGUCGGUUAAGUCUGGGAUUUGGCGUUGUCCCAUUUGCACAUUUGAUAAUGAAGAUACUAUGAAUGUAUGUGAUAUAUGUGGAGUCUUUCGUAAUCCAUUGGUCAAAAAAUGUGUCAGCAGUAAAGAAAAUGCAGUUGG